GAGAGAGAGAGAAAGCCAUGGUGGGAAGUAGAGAUACUGCCAUUGGUGGGAAGGAGAUCAAUGGCCACUUCCUCUACCUCCUGGUUUCUCCUCACCGGCGGCCGUCUAGGAAACUGGGUGAAAGAAUCAGCAAUUUGUUCCAACGAUCGAGUAGGGUGGUGAUAUCCAGGAGUCCUGAGUUAUGCAAUUAUUUUUAAUUGGAUUUAGAGUUGAUCGACCAUAGUAACAGGGUGAAAGGUCUGAAGCCCAUAUUAACUAAGGCAGAAGAAUAGAAGGUGGCCAAAAAUGGUGAAAGCAAGAAGCUAGAAUGUAUAUACAGAUAAGGAACUACUUCAGGUAUAAUAUUGUAAUACGAGGGAGGUCCAACGUCCCCAUGGAGUCCCACAUGAGCUUCAACUCUGAUGCUAAAUUCAACAGGUCAGAUAUAUUUGCAGGUAUUGCUAUUUUUUCCGAGAACACCCUUGGAUGCCUUUUGAGCCGAGUCUUCCUUCAAAAUUCUGAGUUAUCUGGGUAUCCCAGCUGAUGUUUUCAAUUCCUCCUUAGGUAGCAGGUGCUGAACUGAUUCCAGCUCAAGAUCAAUAGGUUUCUGCAGCGAAGCACUUGUUUUGGAAAGAUUGAGUAAUUGUUUGCUUCAAUUCGGUGGCCGGCUCGAGCUCCUGCACUCAAGUAGGGGCGUGCAGCUGGUUUGCUAGCUGCAGACGAAUGAACAGUCUCCGGUACAGUGUGCUGCAUGCUCAAUGUACGUAGUGAUCCUGAUGUGGGGUACGUACGUAUUGCCUGUUGCACAGAUCAUACAAUUGCCUUGGUCGUCUUUUUUAAACACAAAGUACUCCAGAAUGACAAGACUAGAUACAUGUGCACACACUGUUUGUCCGAAGCCUUGCAGUACAGCAUGUGACCUCUGAGAGAGGCUGCAUUGUGUGGGUGGAAUUAAUCGGUGGUGUACAAUUUUACGUGCACCAACAGUUACCAUAUGUUACUGCAUGCUAGCUAGGGCCCAUCGCGGUGACAGAUCAAUUGCAGUUCUUGUUAUAGCUGUGGCCAGUGAAGGACUACAACACAAGAGAAUAGGCAGGCUUUCCCAUUAGGCAAAGCAUUCUUUUAAGAGUAUGCUAGCUCUCCCUAGGCAUUUUUAUUUGUGGAAUAAUUUGUGAUCAAUUAUUACAUACACCUAGCCAGCUGAGAAUGUUAAUAGGUAAUAAAGUAUAUAUA